GACGAACGCUGGCGGCGUGCUUAACACAUGCAAGUCGAACGGAAAGGCCCCUUUGGGGGUACUCCAGUGGCGAACGGGUGAGUAACACGUGAGUAACCUGCCCUUGACUUCGGGAUAACUUCAGGAAACUGGGGCUAAUACCGGAUAGGAAUCCUUGCUGCAUGGUGGGGGUUGUAAAGCUUCGGCGGUUUUGGAUGUACUCGCGGCUUAUCAGCUUGUUGGUGGGGUAGUGGCUUACCAAGGCUUUGACGCGUAGCCGGCCUGAGAGGGGGACCGGCCACAUUGGGACUAAUAUACGGCCCAGACUCCUACGGGAGGCAGCAGUGGGGAAUAUUGCACAAUGGGCGGAAGCCUGAUGCAGCAACGCCGCGUGCGGGAUGACGGCCUUCGGGUUGUAAACCGCUUUCAGCAGGGGCGAAGCUUGUGGUGACGGUACCUGCAGAAGAAGCACCGGCUAACUACGUG
rnacentral:rRNA from 1 species